AACUGGGAUUAGAUACCCCACUAUUCUUGGAAAUAAAAAGAGUAAUCUACCAGAGUACUACGAAUUAAAAAUUUAAAACUCAAAGGGCUUGGCGGUGCUUUAGACCUUUCAGGGGAACCUGUCUCAUAAUCGACAAUCCACGUUAUACCUAACCUUUUCUCGCAUACAAUUUGUAUACCGUCGUCGUCAGGUAACUUUUAAAAAUCUUAUAGUUAGCAGAUAAACCUAAAUAAGUUUAAACGUCAGAUCAAGGUGCAAUCAAUGAAAAGGACGGGAUGGGUUACAAUUAUACAUAAAUAAUAAUACGGAAAAUUGGUUGAAAUACGACUAUAAAGGAGGACUUGAAAGUAAAAAGUGUUAAUAUAUACAAGUUGAAUAAGGCUCUGAAGCGUGCACACACCGCCCGUCACCC
rnacentral:rRNA from 1 species